rnacentral:rRNA from 1 species
UACAGAGGGGGCAAGCGUUGUUCGGAUUUACUGGGCGUAAAGGGCGCGUAGGCGGCCAGCACAAGUCAGUUGUGAAAUCUCCGAGCUUAACUCGGAACGGUCAACUGAUACUGUGCGGCUAGAGUGCGGAAGGGGCAACUGGAAUUCUUGGUGUAGCGGUGAAAUGCGUAGAUAUCAAGAGGAACACCUGCGGCGAAGGCGGGUUGCUGGGCCGACACUGACGCUGAGGCGCGAAAGCCAGGGGAGCGAACGGG